rnacentral:rRNA from 1 species
CAAUAGCGUAUAUUAAAGUUGUUGCAGUUAAAAAGCUCGUAGUUGGAUUUGUGGUUCGUCCCGCCGGCUGGGUCAUUGACUUUUGCUGUGCUGGUCGUCCAUCCUUGGGUGGAAUCUGUGUGGCAUUAGGUUGUCGCGCAGGGGAUGCCCAUCGUUUACUGUGAAAAAAUUAGAGUGUUCAAAGCAGGCUUAUGCCGUUGAAUAUAUUAGCAUGGAAUGAUGAUAUAGGACCUUGGUACUAUUUUGUUGGUUUGCGCACUGAGGUAAUGAUUAAUAGGGACAGUUGGGGGUAUUCGUAUUCCAUUGUAAGAGGUGAAAUUCUUGGAUUUUUGGAAGACGAACUACUGCGAANGNAUUUACNAAGGAUGUUUNCAUUA